UACGUAGGGUGCAAGCGUUAAUCGGAAUUACUGGGCGUAAAAGCGUGCGCAGGCGGUGAUGUAAGACAGAUGUGAAAGCCCCGGGCUUAACCUGGGAAUGGCAUUUGGGACUGCAAGGCUGGAGUGUGGCAGAGGAGACUGGAAUUCCUGGUGUAGCAGUGAAAUGCGUAGAUAUCAGGAGGAACACCGAUGGCGAAGGCAGGUCUCUGGGCUGACACUGACGCUCAUGCACGAAAGCGUGGGGAGCAAACAGG
rnacentral:rRNA from 1 species